CUCCUCUGAAAAAGCCCUUUGCUGGAAGGUGUUCCCCCGCAGCCCAGUCAAGAGCAACACACCCUGGGGAGGAACGGGUUAAGUUCAAGAGCUCUGGGAGGCGAGCCGGCUCGGGAAAGGGAGAGCGGUGCAGAGAUGCAGACAAACGUGCGGGGACUUCUGCAGGGCAGGGGCUGGGGACCUGGGUGUACCGAGGCAUUGGCCCCUCUUCCCCAGGCACAGCUUGGCUGCGGGAACGGAGGUGUCUUCAAAGGAGCAGACCAGAGGACGCAGGUAAUUACUGAGUGCCCGCCAUGUGCCGUGUACCAUGCCAGGUGCUAGGACCAGAGCUGGCAGCAAGAUGUACUCUCUAUCCUUAAGGAUCCCAUGGUGGGAUGGGAAACAGAUGGCCAUCCACCACAGGAUGGAUGCAAAAAUUGUGAGACAGUCCCAGGUGGCGCUAGUGGUAAAGAACCCACCUGCCAAUGCAGGAGACAUAACAGACGCAGGUUCGAACCCUGGACCAGGAAGAUCCCCUGGAGGAGGGCGUGGCAACCCACUCCAGUAUUCUUGCCUGGAAAAUCCCAUGGACAGAGGAGCCUGAUGGCUAUGGCCCUUAGGGCCGCACAGAGCCAGACGCGACUGAGCCACAAAGCACGGCGCACGACGGACUGAUAGCACCUUACUAGUGCUGUGGCCACGGAGCCCAGCACGGGAUCUGACCUAGAGCAGGCUCUCCAUGUCUGUUUCUGCAAAAGUAAAUAAACGCAAUCGCCUCUGUAAUCCGGAGCUCCACAGAGAGAUUAGACGGAGAACAAAGUUAAGGAAAAGCAUGGCCCCCAGUGUGCACGGGCCCAACGCUCUACGUGUGCGAGUAUGCCUGUGUACAUGUGUACCUGGGCACACAUGUGCAUGAGGGCCACGGGCAGAGCCACUCUGCCAGCACUCCGAUCUAGCCUAACCAGCCGGGUCCUCAUCCAGGAGCCACCACCAAGUAAGGUGUUGUGGACUGUGUGUUUGUGUCCCUUCAAAAUUCAUCGUGAAGCCCUAGCCUCAGCGGGAUGAUAUUUGAAGAUGGGUCACGGGGAGUGGGACUUCCUUAGUGGUCCAGUGGUUAGGACUCCCCACUCCCAGUGGAGGGGAUUCCUUCCCUGGGCAGAGAACUAGAUCCCGCAUGCUGCAGCUGAAGAUCCUGUACUCUGCAAUGA
ensembl:lncRNA